AAGUGCGGAAGAGAUAAGUGCUGAAAGCAUCUAAGCACGAAACUUGCCAAGAGAUGAGUUCUCCCAGAUUAUAAAUCUGUAAGGGUUGUUUAAGACGAAGACGUAGAUAGGCAUGGUGUGUAAGUGGUGCGAGCCAUUGAGCUAACAUGUACUAAUUGCCCGAGAGGCUUAGCCAUACAACGCUCAAG
rnacentral:rRNA from 1 species